rnacentral:hammerhead_ribozyme from 1 species
AUCCAGCUGAUGAGUCCCAAAUAGUACGGAACGCGCAUCAAGCUGGAU